rnacentral:sRNA from 1 species
AAGUAAAGGAGCCUCACUACCACCUUUUUUUCUUUGCGUUUUCUUACUGCUGGUCCUGGGAGUCUUUUCCUUCGGAGCAGGAGCCCCGUCCCGCGUCUGUCUUGAGCUCCCAGCAGGGAAAGUCCAUCAGCUUGAUAAUGGAGGAGAACAAUGACUCCACGGAGAACCCCCAACAAGGCCAAGGGCGGCAGAAUGCCAUCAAGUGUGGGUGGCUGAGGAAGCAAGGAGGCUUUGUCAAGACUUGGCAUACUCGCUGGUUUGUGCUCAAGGGGGAUCAGCUCUAUUAUUUCAAAGAUGAAGAUGAAACCAAGCCCUUGGGUACUAUUUUUCUGCCUGGAAAUAAAGUUUUUGAGCAUCCCUGCAAUGAAGAGAACCCAGGGAAGUUCCUUUUUGAAGUAGUUCCAGAGGUCUACUUUUCCAUUCAGUCUGCUAGCUGCAAGGAGGUUUCAUCUUUUGGUGAAGAAGUUCUCAAGUAAUAUAGAUGGAUAUUUUCAAUACUGUUUUAGAGAGAGCCAUGUCUUCAAGACCAGGAAGUAACAGAUAAAACCUCUUCUCCAACAUUGCUAUUCUAAAUCAUCUGUUUCACAUGCAGUGCAUAUGACAUAAUGGCUUUUGAUGAACAAAGCCUAAGAAGUUUAAGACUGUGUAAUAUGGAAUUUGAAGGUUGUCCUUUCAAACAAAUUUAUAGGAAAUUCAAGUUUGCUUCUGUAAUUAUGGAGAUAAAUAUAGUAUGUGAGUAGAUCAUUUGAAAAGAUGCUUCCUGAAUUAUUAAUACAGUACAUAAUAGCUGCUAAAUUAGGUUUUAUAAUUCUAAAUCAUCUACGGAGUGUGAAGAGAAGUGUUCCAAAUGUGUCUU